UCGUGUCACAAUGACUGGUCUUAAAUCAAUGAGUGCACCCUGCUGUUGCAGCGUCUUCAGUGUGAUAAGCAUCUUCACUGGAACAAAGUUCCCUUUUGGGACACGCAGGCAUUGUAGGCUCUGUGCUGGCAAACCGUCCUUUUUGGACAAAUCUUUGACAAUUUGACCUCAAAUCGGGUGGGACUACCCGCUGAACUUAA
rnacentral:misc_RNA from 1 species